CAUAAGAUACAAAUGUACAGUAUGUGAGUUUAAUUUUGACUUCUGUAAAACACUGCUGUAAUAAUCGGUUUCUUGUUUUGUCAGCAGUUUUGAGUCCCGUCAACACGUCAACAACACUGAGGAUGACACAAGAAACAUGUCAUCAAACAACAAGGCAGACAACAUGACCACCUCUACGUUCAUGAAAUUGCCUCCGGUCGUGACUAGAGUUGCACCGUGCCCCCUCUCCACCUGUUUGACAACAAACCUCGCCGCCUCCCUGCAGGGUGGGGACAAGACGGCCGGCAGCGCCACCACCGACCCAUUCGGUAUCGGAAAGAAGUGACAGAAAGCAGCUGUCAACACAGUCAUCAACAUCAUCCAUAGUUAUAUUAAUACAUAGAUAACUCAUUUGGCUUGUGAGAUCUUGGGAUGGACAACUGACGCGUUCUGCCCAUGAAGACUUAAAUACUUUUCUACUGCUUUUGGAUGUUGAUGCAAAUUCAAAUUCCAAAUAAGUAACAUUGAAUGAUGACAUUUAAAAAUAUUUUACUGGUACAAACGUAUUGAAUUUAAUUUCACAAGAGGUAACAGUAAUC